CCAUCCGUGGGAUUCGUAAUUUA
rnacentral:miRNA from 1 species